rnacentral:rRNA from 1 species
UGGGGAAUCUUGCGCAAUGGGGGAAACCCUGACGCAGCGACGCCGCGUGCGGGAUGAAGGCCUUCGGGUUGUAAACCGCUUUCAGCAGGGACGAGGCCUUAUGGUGACGGUACCUGCAGAAGAAGCUCCGGCUAAAUACGUGCCAGCAGCCGCGGUAAUACGUAUGGAGCAAGCGUUAUCCGGAUUCAUUGGGCGUAAAGCGCUCGUAGGCGGUCUGUUAGGUCGGCAAGUUAAAUCCGGGGGCUCAACCCCCGUCCGCUUCCGAUACCGGCAGACUUGAGUUUGGUAGGGGAAGGUGGAAUUCCUAGUGUAGCGGUGGAAUGCGCAGAUAUUAGGAAGAACACCGGUGGCGAAGGCGGCCUUCUGGCCAUAACUGACGCUGAGGAGCGAAAGCUAGGGGAGCGAACAGG